GUGUGUGUGUGUGUGUGUGUAGCUAGUGUGGCUGGUCAGAGAGCUGGUGAAGAGCGGCGUGAUCGGAGCUGAUGGUGUCGUCAUGACGCUGCUCAAACAGAUCGCAGGAGGAGACAUUUCCACCAAGAACCUGUGGCUGGCCGAGAACGUCCUGGACAUCCUGCUGGACCAGAAGGACUGGGUCCUGAGGAGCGGGGGCAUGCUGGUAGC